rnacentral:rRNA from 1 species
UACGUAGGGGGCAAGCGUUGUCCGGAAUUAUUGGGCGUAAAGAGCGUGUAGGCGGCCAGAUAAGUCCGCUGUGAAAUCUCGAGGCUCAACUUCGAGCUGUCGGUGGAAACUGUCUGGCUAGAGUCCGGAAGAGGAGAAUGGAAUUCCUGGUGUAGCGGUGAAAUGCGCAGAUAUCAGGAAGAACACCCGUGGCGAAGGCGGCUCACUGGCCCGAUACUGACGCUGAGGCACGAAAGCGUGGGGAGCAAACAGG